rnacentral:rRNA from 1 species
UACGUAGGGGGCUAGCGUUGUCCGGAUUUAUUGGGCGUAAAGAGCGUGUAGGCGGCCAGGUAGGUCUGCUGUGAAAACUCGAGGCUCAACCUCGAGACGUCGGCGGAAACCAUCUGGCUAGAGUCCGGAAGAGGAGAGUGGAAUUCCUGGUGUAGCGGUGAAAUGCGUAGAUAUCAGGAGGAACACCUGUGGCGAAAGCGGCGCACUGGACCACAACUGACGCUGAGGCGCGAAAGCUAGGGGAGCAAACAGG